AGUGAACGCUGGCGGCGUGCCUAAUACAUGCAAGUCGAACGGAGUGGCGCACGGGUGAGUAAUGUAUAGCUAAUCUGCCCUACACUAGAGGACAACAGAUGGAAACGACUGCUAAUACUCUAUAGUGUAGGAUGAGGCUAUAUUGUAUCAGCUAGUUGGUGAGGUAAUGGCUCACCAAGGCUAUGACGCAUAACUGGUCUGAGAGGAUGAUCAGGCACAGUGGAAGUUAGACACGGUCCAGACUCCUACGGGAGGAAGGAGUAGGGAAGAUUGCUCGAUGGGGAAAUCCCGGAGGAAGCAACGCCGCGUGGAGGAGGACAUUUUUUGGAGCAUAAAUUCCAUUUGUUAGGGAAGCGGUAGCUAACGAAUAAGCACCGGCUAACUCCGUGCCAGCAGCCGCGGUAAUUC
rnacentral:rRNA from 1 species